CAGCCGCCGCGGGAAUACGAAGGGGGCUAGCGUUGUUCGGAAUUACUGGGCGUAAAGGGCGCGUAGGCGGCCAUUCAAGUUAGAUGUGAAAGCCCUGGGCUCAACCUAGGAAUUGCAUUUGAUACUGUUUGGCUUGAGUUCGGGAGAGGUGAGUGGAAUUCCCAGUGUAGAGGUGAAAUUCGUAGAUAUUGGGAAGAACACCAGUGGCGAAGGCGGCUCACUGGACCGACACUGACGCUGAGGCGCGAAAGCGUGGGGAGCAAACAGGAUUAGAGACCCCCGUAGUCCCUGUCUCUUAUAC
rnacentral:rRNA from 1 species